GAUGAACGCUGGCGGCGUGCCCAAUACAUGCAAGUCGAGCGAACGGACGAGAAGCUUGCUUCUCUGAUGUUAGCGGCGGACGGGUGAGUAACACGUGGAUAACCUACCUAUAAGACUGGGAUAACUUCGGGAAACCGGAGCUAAUACCGGAUAAUAUUUUGAACCGCAUGGUUCAAAAGUGAAAGACGGUCUUGCUGUCACUUAUAGAUGGAUCCGCGCUGCAUUAGCUAGUUGGUAAGGUAACGGCUUACCAAGGCAACGAUGCAUAGCCGACCUGAGAGGGUGAUCGGCCACACUGGAACUGAGACACGGUCCAGACUCCUACGGGAGGCAGCAGUAGGGAAUCCUCCGCAAUGGGCGAAAGCCUGACGGAGCAACGCCGCGUGAGUGAUGAAGGUCUUCGGAUCGUAAAACUCUGUUAUUAGGGAAGAACAUAUGUGUAAGUAACUGUGCACAUCUUGACGGUACCUAAUCAGAAAGCCACGGCUAACUACGUG
rnacentral:rRNA from 1 species